rnacentral:misc_RNA from 1 species
GAAAUGCGAUAAGUAAUGUGAAUUGCAGAAUUCAGUGAAUCAUCGAAUCUUUGAACGCACAUUUCGCCCGCCAGUAUUCUGGCGGGCAUGCCUGUUCGAGCGUCAUUUCAACCAUCAAGCCCCCGGCUUGUGUUGGGGACCUGCGGCUGCCCGCAGGCCCUGAAAAACAGUGGCGGGCUCGCUGUCACACCGAGCGUAGUAGCAUACAUUCUCGCUCAGGGCGUGCUGCGGGUUCCGGCCGUUAAACGACCUUCAUAACCCAAGGUUGACCUCGGAUCAGGUAGGAAGACCCGCUGAACUUAAGC